rnacentral:rRNA from 1 species
AGUGAACGCUGGCGGUAGGCCUAACACAUGCAAGUCGAACGGCAGCACAGUAAGAGCUUGCUCUUACGGGUGGCGAGUGGCGGACGGGUGAGGAAUACAUCGGAAUCUACUUUUUCGUGGGGGAUAACGUAGGGAAACUUACGCUAAUACCGCAUACGACCUACGGGUGAAAGCAGGGGAUCUUCGGACCUUGCGCGAUUGAAUGAGCCGAUGUCGGAUUAGCUAGUUGGCGGGGUAAAGGCCCACCAAGGCGACGAUCCGUAGCUGGUCUGAGAGGAUGGAUCGCCCAAACGGAACUGAGACACGGUCCAGACUCCUACGGGAGGCAGCAGUGGGGAAUAUUGGACAAUGGGCGCAAGCCUGAUCCAGCCAUACCGCGUGGGUGAAGAAGGCCUUCGGGUUGUAAAGCCCUUUUGUUGGGAAAGAAAAGCAGCAGGUUAAUACCCCGCUGUUCUGACGGUACCCAAAGAAUAAGCACCGGCUAACUUCGUG